UACGCCGAGGCGGGCGGCAAGAUCUACGUCGAGACGGCGGCGGCGUCUGCCGCAGUGGCCUCCUCCCUCUUGCCCCUCUCGGAUCCGCGACGGACAGGUCAAGGUAGCCCGUGCGACCUCGCCUCCCAAUCGCGUGGCUGGCCGCUCUACCUCACCCCGGUGGCCUUCCUCCCUUAUCUUUCAAAUUCCCGUGCCAGAUCGAGAUGCGAAAUCUCCCGUCACCGGCCAUUCUUCAUGGUUAUUGGAUGAUGUCCUGAUUGAGUUAGGAUGAACUCAGAUGAUGCAAUUUGUAGCGGGGAGACUACUUUGCUUCUUCUUUUCACGUUAGUGUUUUGGUCCGUCACCUGUGUUCGUUUUCCUGUUUCAAUCGAGCAUCCACUGGUGCCUGCUCAGGCUAGGAAAGAAAAGAUGCAUUUCGUUGGUCGAGGAUGUGUCAUCCUAGAGCUAUCAAUGGAAAAUUCUGGAAAGCUUGCAUUGCAUAUAUCUGGGAAUACAUGGACAAGACACGACAAAAUAUAUAUGAGCUGAACUUUAUUGUUGUAGACCAUGAGAUUCGGCUCGGGUCUGUUAGGUAUAGCACUGUUUUAUCUCGGCGUGGUGCACUCUUCCCGUUGAGAGAAGUAUUAUAAAUAUUGGCAAGUCUGAGUAAAGAUCUAAUGCUCUUCAAGGUCAAGUGUAAAGACAUGUCGUUUCAUUCAUGUCGAUUUAUUUUCUGUAAUACUAUUGCCAAUGAAUUCUAGCUUUCAAUUUGUUGCCUGACCACUUGCUAGCAAAUUAGUUUUCAUUCACGGGAAAUGUACACUUAGGCUUAAACUGGUGUUCUAGAGAAACAGGAGGAAGGCUGAGUACUAGCCAAUCAAAUAGACCAGUUGAGAGAACAGCUGAAACAGGGCUCGAUCUAGAGAUUUGAAUCUUUUGUGUUCCAGAACCUGAACACUUUUCUCUAUUCACGUAUAGCGCAAAACUUCAUUGUUAAUGAAUACAGCCCGCACAUCUGUAUUUUA